UUUGGUGUCCAUGCCACCGGUGAAACACCUGUUCCCAUCCCGAACACAGAAGUUAAGACCGGUAGGGGCGAUUAUACUUCCAAAAGAGGGAAAGUAGCAAGACGCCAAAU
rnacentral:rRNA from 1 species